GAUGAACGCUGGCGGCGUGCCUAAUACAUGCAAGUCGAGCGAACAGACGAGAAGCUUGCUUUUCUGAUGUUAGCGGCGGACGGGUGAGUAACACGUGGAUAACCUACCUAUAAGACUGGGAUAACUUCGGGAAACCGGAGCUAAUACCGGAUAAUAUUUUGAACCGCAUGGUUCAAAAGUGAAAGACGGUCUUGCUGUCACUUAUAGAUGGAUCCGCGCUGCAUUAGCUAGUUGGUAAGGUAACGGCUUACCAAGGCAACGAUGCAUAGCCGACCUGAGAGGGUGAUCGGCCACACUGGAACUGAGACACGGUCCAGACUCCUACGGGAGGCAGCAGUAGGGAAUCUUCCGCAAUGGGCGAAAGCCUGACGGAGCAACGCCGCGUGAGUGAUGAAGGUCUUCGGAUCGUAAAACUCUGUUAUUAGGGAAGAACAUAUGUGUAAGUAACUAUGCACGUCUUGACGGUACCUAAUCAGAAAGCCACGGCUAACUACGUG
rnacentral:rRNA from 1 species